GGUGGCUCAAUGGUAGAGUGCUUGCCUUGCAUGCAUGAGGCCCUGGGUUUGAUUCCCCAGCACCA
rfam:Dipodomys ordii contig_35951, whole genome shotgun sequence.